GCAUAUCAAUAAGCGGAGGAAAAGAAACCAACAGGGAUUGCCUUAGUAGCGGCGAGUGAAGCGGCAAAAGCUCAAAUUUGAAAUCUGGCACCUUCGGUGUCCGAGUUGUAAUUUGAAGAUUGUAACCUUGGGGUUGGCUCUUGUCUAUGUUUCUUGGAACAGGACGUCACAGAGGGUGAGAAUCCCGUGCGAUGAGAUGCCCAAUCCUAUGUAAGGUGCUUUCGAAGAGUCGAGUUGUUUGGGAAUGCAGCUCUAAGUGGGUGGUAAAUUCCAUCUAAAGCUAAAUAUUGGCGAGAGACCGAUAGCGAACAAGUACAGUGAUGGAAAGAUGAAAAGAACUUUGAAAAGAGAGUGAAAAAGUACGUGAAAUUGUUGAAAGGGAAGGGUUUGAGAUCAGACUCGAUAUUUUGUGAGCCUUGCCUUCGUGGCGGGGUGACCCGCAGCUUAUCGGGCCAGCAUCGGUUUGGGCGGUAGGAUAAUGGCGUAGGAAUGUGACUUUGCUUCGGUGAAGUGUUAUAGCCUGCGUUGAUGCUGCCUGCCUAGACCGAGGACUGCGAUUUUAUCAAGGAUGCUGGCAUAAUGAUCCCAAACCGCCCGUCUUGAAACACGGACCA
rnacentral:rRNA from 1 species